rnacentral:rRNA from 1 species
GACGAACGCUGGCGGCGUGCUUAACACAUGCAAGUCGAACGGAAAGGCCCUGCUUUUGUGGGGUGCUUGAGUGGCGAACGGGUGAGUAACACGUGAGUAACCUGCCCUUGGCUUUGGGAUAACUUCAGGAAACUGGGGCUAAUACCGGAUAGGAGCUCCUGCUGCAUGGUGGGGGUUGGAAAGUUUCGGCGGUUGGGGAUGGACUCGCGGCUUAUCAGCUUGUUGGUGGGGUAGUGGCUUACCAAGGCUUUGACGGGUAGCCGGCCUGAGAGGGUGACCGGCCACAUUGGGACUGAGAUACGGCCCAGACUCCUACGGGAGGCAGCAGUGGGGAAUAUUGCACAAUGGGCGGAAGCCUGAUGCAGCAACGCCGCGUGCGGGAUGACGGCCUUCGGGUUGUAAACCGCUUUCGCCUGUGACGAAGCGUGAGUGACGGUAAUGGGUAAAGAAGCACCGGCUAACUACGUG